rnacentral:rRNA from 1 species
CAAUAGCGUAUAUUAAAGUUGUUGCAGUUAAAAAGCUCGUAGUUGGAUUUCUGGUCGGAAGCUCCUGUCCUCUGAUGAGCGUACAAGUGCGUCCUACCAUCCUUCUGUUAACCUUUAAGGCUUUCGCGGCUUUCUAGGGGCUCAGAUAUUUUACCUUGAGAAAAUUAGAGUGUUUCAGGCAGGCUAGCGCCGGAAUACAUUAGCAUGGAAUAAUGGAAUAGGACUUUUGCCUCUUCUGUUGGUCAUGAGGCUCGAGUAAUGAUUAAUAGGGAUAGUUGGGGACAUUAGUACUUAACUGUCAGAGGUGAAAUUCUCGGAUUUGUUAAAGACUAACUUAUGCGAAAGCAUUUGCCAAGGAUGUUUUCAUUAA